UGGACAGGGCUUAAUGACUUCUGCGGCUUUAGCUGGGUUAGCAGCAAAGGAAGGGAUGAGAAUAAAACGCCCCCAUAAGCCUAGGAAAGGACCUGGUUAGCCAGGGAAACCAGGAGCCACCAGGGCUGGUUUUAAAUUCAACCCCAUCAAUAAACAACUCGCCUCAGUAAACAUGCUUCAGCAGCUAGAAUAUCACAACGGCCCUGUGUCUGGAGCAGCUGAUUAGGAACCAAUCCAUUCCAAUAAGCACCCAGUGAGUGCCAGCUAAGCAUCAGUGACACCAGUGACCUCGCUUCUACAGACGACAUCCGUGCACUCAUGCUUUUUGGCAUCUGCCAGUCCCUGAAGUUGCUUCCUAAGACUCGACACAAGAUUUGUCAUCUGCUCUGUGCAUGCCCGAGCCCAGGGCAGCUCCCUGGCAAGACAGCUUUCGGGGAGCAGACAGCAGCAUCCUAAGCAGAAUAAGAGAUGAUGGCUCGGCUUCUCAGCGUCUCCGGCUCUGCCUCCAACAACUUGAUGAGAAGGAAAAGGGCCCUUCCCAAAGCCCGCUCCACAGGGAUCCAGCAUGCUGGGCCUCUAACCAGGCUGCCAUCCACCUGAUCUGUGCAUUUGUGCCCUGGAGCCCAAACAUACCUAUCAUGAAUAUGCAUUUAGGAAAGUCUCGAUUUCAAGGCCCCCAACCUAAGCUCUGA
rnacentral:lncRNA from 1 species